rnacentral:rRNA from 1 species
CAGCAGCCGCGGGAAAACAGAGGGUGCGAGCGUUAAUCGGAUUUACUGGGCGUAAAGCGUGCGUAGGCGGCUUUUUAAGUCGGAUGUGAAAUCCCUGAGCUUAACUUAGGAAUUGCAUUCGAUACUGGGAAGCUAGAGUAUGGGAGAGGAUGGUAGAAUUCCAGGUGUAGCGGUGAAAUGCGUAGAGAUCUGGAGGAAUACCGAUGGCGAAGGCAGCCAUCUGGCCUAAUACUGACGCUGAGGUACGAAAGCAUGGGGAGCAAACAGGAUUAGAUACCCGUGUAGUCCCUGUCUCUUAUAC